UUUGGGCAUUGUAUAAGAACUGGUCUGCUGAAAUUGAAGCUUGUGACUUGAGAAAAUGUGAAUAUGAGAUAGUGGAAGUCCUCGAGGAAAAAGACUUGGGGAUCAGAGUUUCAUUUUUAGAGCAAGUUGAUGGUUUUAACUCGAUUUUCAAGGCUCAGUUAAAGGAAGCAUCAUCUGUUACAAUGGAGGUUCUCCAUGGUGAGCUGCUUAAAUUCUCCCAUCAGAUUCCUGCCUUUCGACUAACAGAAGAGAGGGGUGGCAGCCUAAGAGGCUUCUGGGAACUUGACCCUUCAGCGCUGCCUGGUCAUUAUUUUGCUAGGAAGUAACAUGACAAGCUUAUAUUCUAAUGCUAUCUAUUUGCUGUUGGACUUUAUAGUAUCACCAGCAUGGUCAUGUUUUGUGAAUGCUGUUUUAGAAAUAGAUUUUGCCUAGAUACAUACUGUGUUCUGGAGUUGCCUCUGAACAUUUCUUUUGGUGUCUGGAGAGAUCUGUACUGGCUCAAACUCUUUUGAUCCCUUCAAUUUUGGCAUGAAGCUUUGGUUGGUUAAGCCACAAAUCAGUGAUGGGAAUGGCAAAUUAGCCAAAGCAUGGAAGUUAGAUUUCUUCACUUUGUUGCUGCGGUAGCAGUCCUAUUUCACUUCACAUUUUCCUGUAAACUCUCACAUUCCAAGUUAUCAUAUUAGCUUUUCUUUAGUUGGAUGUAGAGAUGAAAUGCUAGCAGCUCAUUUACUAUUGUUUCAUUUAAAAAAUAAUUCUAUUUUGGAAGAAUUUUGGUGGGCG
rnacentral:misc_RNA from 1 species